rnacentral:tRNA from 1 species
GGUGAUAUAACCAAAAGGUAAGGUAAAGAACUGCAAAUUCUUUUAUUUCCCAGUUCAAUUCUGGGUAUCACUU